CAGUAGCCGCGGUAAUACGUAGGUGGCAAGCGUUGUCCGGAAUUAUUGGGCGUAAAGGGCUCGCAGGCGGUUUCUUAAGUCUGAUGUGAAAGCCCCCGGCUCAACCGGGGAGGGUCAUUGGAAACUGGGAAACUUGAGUGCAGAAGAGGAGAGUGGAAUUCCACGUGUAGCGGUGAAAUGCGUAGAGACGUGGAGGAACACCAGUGGCGAAGGCGACUCUCUGGUCUGUAACUGACGCUGAGGAGCGAAAGCGUGGGGAGCGAACAGGAUUAGAUACCCCUGUAGUCCCUGUCUCUUAUAC
rnacentral:rRNA from 1 species